rnacentral:rRNA from 1 species
GGAAGAGAUGUAUUUAUUAGAUAAAAAAAUCAAUGUCUUCGGACUCUUUGAUGAUUCAUAAUAACUUUUCGAAUCGCAUGGCCUUGUGCUGGCGAUGGUUCAUUCAAAUUUCUGCCCUAUCAACUUUCGAUGGUAGGAUAGUCUCCUACCAUGGUUUCAACGGGUAACGGGGAAUAAGGGUUCCCUUCCGGAGAGGGAGCCUGAGAAACGGCUACCACAUCCAAGGAAGGCAGCAGGCGCGCAAAUUACCCAAUCCUAAUUCAGGGAGGUAGUGACAAUAAAUAACGAUACAGGGCCCAUUCGGGUCUUGUAAUUGAUAUGAGUACAAUGUAAAUACCUUAACGAUUAACAAUUGGAGGGCAAGUCUGGUGCCAGCAGCCGCGGUAAUUCCAGCUCCAAUAGCGUAUAUUAAAGUUGUUGCAGUUAAAAAGCUCGUAGUUGAACUUUGGGCCCGGUUGGCCGGUCCGAUUUUUUCGUGUACUGGAUUUCCAACGGGGCCUUUCCUUCUGGCUAACCUUGAGUCCUUGUGGCUCUUGGCGAACCAGGACUUUUAC